rnacentral:tRNA from 1 species
GGCUCGUUGGUCUAGGGGUAUGAUUCUCGCUUAGGGUGCGAGAGGUCCCGGGUUCGAAGCCCGGACGAGCCC